rnacentral:rRNA from 1 species
AUUGAACGCUGGCGGCAGGCCCAACACAUGCAAGUCGAGCGGCAGCGGAAGGAAGCUUGCUUUCUUGCCGGCGAGCGGCGGACGGGUGAGUAAGGAAUGGGGAUCUGGCCGAAGGCGGGGGAUAACCACUGGAAACGGUGGCUAAUACCGCAUAAUCUCUAAGGAGCAAAGUGGGGGACCGUUCAGGCCUCACACCUUCGGAUGAACCCAUAUGAGAUUAGCUAGUAGGUGGGGUAAUGGCUCACCUAGGCGACGAUCUCUAGCUGGUCUGAGAGGAUGAUCGGCCACACUGGGACUGAGACACGGCCCAGACUCCUACGGGAGGCAGCAGUGGGGAAUAUUGCACAAUGGGCGCAAGCCUGAUGCAGCCAUGCCGCGUGUAUGAAGAAGGCCUUCGGGUUGUAAAGUACUUUCAGUCGUGAGGAAGGUGUUAAGGUUAAUAACCUUAGCAAUUGACGUUAGCGACAGAAGAAGCACCGGCUAACUCCGUGCCAGCCGCCGCAGUAAAAC